UACGUAGGUCCCGAGCGUUGUCCGGAUUUAUUGGGCGUAAAGCGAGCGCAGGCGGUUCUUUAAGUCUGAAGUUAAAGGCAGUGGCUUAACCAUUGUACGCUUUGGAAACUGGAGGACUUGAGUGCAGUAGAGGAGAGUGGAAUUCCAUGUGUAGCGGUGAAAUGCGUAGAUAUAUGGAGGAACACCGGUGGCGAAAGCGGCUCUCUGGACUGUAACUGACACUGAGGCUCGAAAGCGUGGGUAGCAAACAGG
rnacentral:rRNA from 1 species